UAAAGACAUAUAAAUAUACCGAUAAAUAAUAUCAACAGAUAAAAAUUCAAAGAAAUUGGCGGUGUCUUAUAUACUCGGGGGAACCUGUUACUUAAUUCGAUAUUCCACGAUAAUUUUUCCCUUUUUUGAAAUACUCAGCUUGUGUACUGCUGUCGCCAGUAAACCUUUAAAAGAUAGUUUACAAUAAUAAUUACUAAUUAUUUACGUCAAGUCAAAGUGCAGCUUAUAAAAGAAGGAGUUCAAUGGGUUACAAUCCUCAAAUGGAUAACGGAGUCCUGUAUAAAAUAAAGGAUAAAGGAGGACUCGAUAGUAAUAAUUAAAUAAAACUAUUAUAAACUAUUAAUCUAAGACAUGCACACAUCGCCCGUCGCUCUCACCCAAAGUG
rnacentral:rRNA from 1 species